rnacentral:lncRNA from 10 species
GCUGCUGCUCUGCCUAUGGAGUGGCUAUUCUUUAUUCCUUUACUUGCUUUUUUUUUUUUUAAGUGAAAGCAAGUUUAUUAAGAAAGUAAAGGAAUAAAGACUGGCUACUCCAUAGGCAGACCAGCCUAUUCCUUUACUUUCUUAAUAAACUUUCUUUCAUUUUACUCUAUGGACUUGCCCCAAAUUCUUUCUUGCACAAGAUCCAAGAACUCUCUCUUGGGGUCUGGAUCAGGAUCCCUUUCCGAUAACAUCUUCCUGUGGAAUCACAAAGGCACUAUAAUGAGGAGACCCCCGACCCAAAGGGAAUAGACUGCAGCACCAAUUGGCCGACCUUGGAGACCACAUGUUAAAUCUCCUGGUCAGAAGAUCAUUCCACCCAACCCUGAAUGGAUUAAAGUUGACAGGGCCCAACCAGGGGUUCCGUCCUUCCUUGCCAAUGAGACGCCCUACAAAGUUAUUAUGGGCCAGGAUCUUCAGGGGAACCUCGUCAGCCCUUGGGAAGACAAAGGAAGAAGUGGAAGACAAGAGUUCCUUCAAUUGUGGGCUUCAUGAAGACUCAAUCACCAUGCCACCCCAGACUUGGCAUUUCCAAGUAAAACAUCUCAAAACUUAUCAAACUGCAUACUUUAAAAAUAUGUAUGAUUUAUUAUACAUCAAUUGAACAUCAAUAAAGCCAAUUUGUUUUAUUUUUUGAGACAGGGUCUCACUCUAUCACCCAGGCUGGAAUGCAGUGGCACUAUCAAGGCUCACCACAGCCUUGACCUCCUGGGCUCAUGCGAUCCUCCCUUCUCAGCCUUCCGAGUAGCUGGGACUAUACGCACAGGCCGCCACGUCCAGCUGAUUUUUCUAUUUUCUGUAGAGGUGAGGUUUCACUAUGUUGCCCAGGCUGGUCUAGAACUCCUAGCCUCCAAAGUGCUGGGAUUAGAGGCAUGAGCCACCGUGCCCAGCCAAUAAAGCUAUUUUAAACAGCACAAGUGUGUAAAGGAACAUGUGUAAGCAGAUUCCUUGCAUCACUGUUUUCUGAUAAGGAAAAGUUUAAAACAAUUUAAACACCCAUCAAGAAAUAGGAGAUUGAUUACAUGAACUAUGAAUAGCUAUACUGUGGAAUUCUAUGCAGCUAUAAAAAUAAUGCGGUCUGUCCAUAUGUACUAAUAUAUGUGCUGAUACAGAAAAUGAAAAAAGUAUAGAACAGCCUGUUCAGUGUGAUUCUCUCUGAGCUAAAACACAUGUGCAUACACGCACAAGUGAAUACACACAGGCACACAUAUCCGUACAUGCAGGCACGCAGACACAAUAUACACACACCUGUGAGUGCACAGAAUUUCUAGGAGGUCAUACGACAGGAAUAAGAAGGGAUGGGGUGUGGUGGCACACGCCUGUAAUCCCAGCUCUUUGGGAGGCUGAGCUGGGUGGGUCACUUGAGUCCAGGAGUUCAAGACCAGCCUGGGUAACAUGGCGACACCCCAUCUCUACAAAAAUCACAAAAAACUAGGCAGGCGUGGUGGUGCAUGCAUGUUGUCCUAGCUACUCAGAAGGCUGAGGCGGGAGGAUCCCUUGAGAUCCAGAGGCAGAGGUUGCAGUGAGCUGAGAUCAUGCCACUGUACUCCAGCCUAGGUGACAAAGUCCUGUAAGAAGAAAGAUUUUAUUUCUCAGUUUACAUCUUUUUGUGCAAUUGCUGACUGUAUUUCUUAUAUGUCUGUAUAAAAGCUUGAAAGUUGAGUUGGGGAGGCUCAACUGGACUAGCAGACCCUGAAGAUCCAAGAAAAGCUGGAGACUUACGUUUUGGUGUCCUUAGCCUCUUUAUGCAUAAUCUCCAAGAUCAUCUUACAAGCGGAGGAGCAGCCCUCAGGGGUGGAGUGCACACUGAUGGCUUUUUCAGCUGCACCUGCGUUCUCCUUCCUAUGCACGUCUAUCCUGGGGGCCACAAGGACAAGGCUGGUUAGUUGUCCCCAGUGAUACCAGUACUUCAGGCUCCCCACCCCACUACCCCUCCUCAGUCAAAGGCAUAGAACCUGCUCUUCUUGAAACAAGGACAAUCAAGUACAACUUUGGGAAGGGCAAUGAAAGGACUGGAGAAAUAUGACCCGUCUGUUACUGUGGAUUCUGUCUCAGACCAGCAGUGUCUCAAUCCACAGGUGGUUGGUGGCCAGGCACGGGAGCUCACGCCUGUAAUUCCAGCACUUUUG